UACAGAGGGUGCGAGCGUUAAUCGGAAUUACUGGGCGUAAAGCGUGCGUAGACGGUUACGUAAGUCGGGUGUGAAAGCCCCGGGCUCAACCUGGGAAUUGCAUUCGAGACUGCGCAGCUAGGGUGCGGAAGAGGGAAGCGGAAUUUCCGGUGUAGCGGUGAAAUGCGUAGAUAUCGGAAGGAACAUCAGUGGCGAAAGCGGCUUCCUGGUCCAGCACCGACGUUCAGGCACGAAAGCGUGGGGAGCAAAC
rnacentral:rRNA from 1 species